rnacentral:other from 1 species
UUCCCUCUGCGGGGUUCGUCAGCGAUCAGUAACGAAUCCCUGACAAUGCCAAACCCAGGGAGGCGAAACCGAGAUGGAGCGCUAGGCCCGGAAGACUUCGCCGGGAAGCCAGAAGUUUCGGAUGAGCCGCCCACCUAGCGAGCGCUAGGGGUUCGGCUACUGCAAGUCGCAGCGACCUUCGCGGUACGGAG